AGCAAAGACAAAAUAAGUGAGGACUUCAGGCAAAUGUUUUGCACAACCAGGUCAACUACGUUGCAGUAUGAUUGUGGAGUUAUUGUUUUGAGAUUUAUGGAGUUGUGGGAUGUCGCUGAGGAAUACGAAAGCAACACAAUGCCCACCUACAGAAAUGUAAGGAGGAACUGCAACAGGUUAGGGAG